CGUGAGCGGCGGACGGGUGAGUAACGCGUGGGUAACCUACCUCAUACAGGGGAGUAACAGUUGGAAACGGCUGCUAAUACCGCAUAAGCGCACAGUACCGCAUGGUACCGUGUGAAAAACUCCGGUGGUAUGAGAUGGACCCGCGUCUGAUUAGCUAGUUGGUGGGGUAACGGCCUACCAAGGCGACGAUCAGUAGCCGACCUGAGAGGGUGACCGGCCACAUUGGGACUGAGACACGGCCCAA
rnacentral:rRNA from 1 species